UGCUUCAUUGCCCAGGCUGGAGUGCAGUGGCACGAUCUCGGCUCACUGCAGCCUCUGCCUCCUGGGUUCCAGCAGUUCUCCUGCCUCAGCCUCCUGGGUAGCUGGGAUUACAGGCACACGCCACCACGCCCAGCUAAUUUUCGGGUUUUUAGUAGAGAUGGUGUUUUGCCAUGUGGGCCAGGCUGGUCUCGAACUCCUGACCUCAGGUGAUCCACCCGCCUCAGCCUCCCAUGGUGCUGGGAUUAAAG
rnacentral:lncRNA from 1 species